GGCAGCGGUGGAUGAAUACCUUGCUUUCUAAUUUUGCAGGUAUGAGAACAGGGUUAACUUUAAUUUGGGACUUGUCAUGGACUUUGCAUACAUUACCAUGACAAAAAGCCUCGUCGUCCUAUGUCGGAAUGGAAUUGCAAUAGUGGAAAUCAAUUAAUCUUCCACAAAGAUCCAGCUUCGAGCGAAGGUGACAGCGGUGGUUUUUGACGUUUACUCGGUACAGUACACUGUAUGAUGACAAUCUUGGUUGUCUUCGUGGAUCGUUUUGUAUCAGUCAACAUCUACAUUUUUGCAGCUAUCGCGCAUUGGAAUUUUAGUGGAUACCAUCAUCUUCUAUUUGUAUCUGCACCAAUUUUAGCGGAAGAGCUAUAUAGAGAGAGAAGAAAACAGGCGUCUCGCAUCGCCCAUGUUCCUACCCGGAAAAGGCGAACGGAAACACUGCCCAACCGCGUCCGUGCUUCCAAUUGCAGAAUGCGGUAUUCUUCAGUGAUCAGUCCGCUACAGGGCUUCAGUGUUCAGUAUUUGGGUAUGUUAUAUUGAACAACGCAGGGGCUUGAGGGUUGAACAUUGAACGCCAAUAGACGCCCUUAGCUAAAUUGAUCUCGAGGUCGAAAGUUUCUCUGUUCAACUUAUAUUUCCA